AAUGAACGCUGGCGGCAGGCCUAACACAUGCAAGUCGAACGGAUCCUUCGGGACUAGUGGAGGACGGGUGAGUAACGCGUGGGAACAUACCUUUUGGUACGGAAUAGCCUCGGGAAACUGGGAGUAAUACCGUAUGUGGUCGAGAGACGAAAGAUUUAUCGCCAAAGGAUUGGCCCGCGUUGGAUUAGGUAGUUGGUGGGGUAAUGGCCUACCAAGCCGACGAUCCAUAGCUGGUUUGAGAGGAUGAUCAGCCACACUGGGACUGAGACACGGCCCAGACUCCUACGGGAGGCAGCAGUGGGGAAUCUUAGACAAUGGGGGAAACCCUGAUCUAGCCAUGCCGCGUGAUCGAUGAAGGCCUUAGGGUUGUAAAGAUCUUUCAGGUGGGAAGAUAAUGACUGUACCACCAGAAGAAGCCCCGGCUAACUCCGUGCCAGCCGCCGCCGUAA
rnacentral:rRNA from 1 species